ACCCUACGCCACCACCUAGGGAAAAGCA
rnacentral:tRNA from 1 species